rfam:Gossypium arboreum cultivar AKA8401 contig_24225_3, whole genome shotgun sequence.
UGUUAAAAAAAAAUUAUCCAUUUGUGCUAUUAAAAACUGGCAUUACUGGCAAAAUAACCAAACAAUGACACAUGUUGACGCACGUGAACCAAUUUUUAAUAGUAGAAACGGAUGAAUUUUUUAACA